rnacentral:rRNA from 1 species
GACGAACGCUGGCGGCGUGCCUAAUACAUGCAAGUAGAACGCUGAAGAGAGGAGCUUGCUCUUCUUGGAUGAGUUGCGAACGGGUGUGUAACGCGUAGGUAACCUGCCUUGUAGCGGGGGAUAACUAUAGGAAACGAUAGCUAAUACCGCAUAACAAUGGAUGACACAUGUCAUUUAUUUGAAAGGGGCAAUUGCUCCACUACAAGAUGGACCUGCGUUGUAUUAGCUAGUAGGUGAGGUAAUGGCUCACCUAGGCGACGAUACAUAGCCGACCUGAGAGGGUGAUCGGCCACACUGGGACUGAGACACGGCCCAGACUCCUACGGGAGGCAGCAGUAGGGAAUCUUCGGCAAUGGGGGCAACCCUGACCGAGCAACGCCGCGUGAGUGAAGAAGGUUUUCGGAUCGUAAAGCUCUGUUGUAAGUCAAGAACGGGUGUGAGAGUGGAAAGUUCACACUGUGACGGUAGCUUACCAGAAAGGGACGGCUAACUACGUGCCAGCAGCCGCGGUAAUACGUAGGUCCCGAGCGUUGUCCGGAUUUAUUGGGCGUAAAGCGAGCGCAGGCGGUUUGAUAAGUCUGAAGUUAAAGGCUGUGGCUCAACCAUAGUUCGCUUUGGAAACUGUCAAACUUGAGUGCAGAAGGGGAGAGUGGAAUUCCAUGUGUAGCGGUGAAAUGCGUAGAUAUAUGGAGGAACACCGGUGGCGAAAGCGGCUCUCUGGUCUGUAACUGACGCUGAGGCUCGAAAGCGUGGGGAGCGAACAGGAUUAGAUACCCUGGUAGUCCACGCCGUAAACGAUGAGUGCUAGGUGUUGGAUCCUUUCCGGGAUUCAGUGCCGCAGCUAACGCAUUAAGCACUCCGCCUGGGGAGUACGACCGCAAGGUUGAAACUCAAAGGAAUUGACGGGGGCCCGCACAAGCGGUGGAGCAUGUGGUUUAAUUCGAAGCAACGCGAAGAACCUUACCAGGUCUUGACAUCCCGAUGCUAUUUCUAGAGAUAGAAAGUUACUUCGGUACAUCGGUGACAGGUGGUGCAUGGUUGUCGUCAGCUCGUGUCGUGAGAUGUUGGGUUAAGUCCCGCAACGAGCGCAACCCCUAUUGUUAGUUGCCAUCAUUCAGUUGGGCACUCUAGCGAGACUGCCGGUAAUAAACCGGAGGAAGGUGGGGAUGACGUCAAAUCAUCAUGCCCCUUAUGACCUGGGCUACACACGUGCUACAAUGGUUGGUACAACGAGUUGCGAGUCGGUGACGGCGAGCUAAUCUCUUAAAGCCAAUCUCAGUUCGGAUUGUAGGCUGCAACUCGCCUACAUGAAGUCGGAAUCGCUAGUAAUCGCGGAUCAGCACGCCGCGGUGAAUACGUUCCCGGGCCU